UUACUUACCUGGAUGCGAUCAAUGGGCGAUCAAUAAGGCUCAUGGCCUAGGUCAGUGACCUCCAUUGCACUAAGGUUCAUGGCCUAGGUCGGUGACCUCCAUUGCACUGAGGAGGGGCCCAUU
rnacentral:snRNA from 1 species